CCUUUUCUGCUUAAUUGGACAGCAGCAGUAGAAAUAGAUGGGAAACACAGAGGUGAGAGAGGAUGCAAAGGGCCCAAGCCGGAUUCAGACCUUGGUCGCUGUGAUAACAGUAUGUUGUACAUGUUCUACUAGGUCUUAUGUCUGCCAGUGGUUGUACUUGACAUGGACCUCAUCAAACUCUUUGUUGUCCUACUAGUCUACCUUUAUCAUCAGAUCCCAAUAAUAAAUAGUCUGCGAACACCUGAUUGAGUCUUCAAGCAGAGAUUACGACAACACCUGCUCAAAGUUCCAGUUUCAUGAACAUCGCACCAUGUCUGUAUGAGACUCUGUCCCCGUCUUCAGUCAAGUCUGGACCCAAUGACUCCGACACCAGUCUUGUCAAG